ACUAGAGAGGGAAAAGUUCAAGGACAGAAAGAAUACAGAGGAAGAGGAGUGUUAAUGAAUUAUUGAAUCAUGUAUCCCUUUUCUGCUAGGAACAAUGGGCUCGGAUGGCCGUAGCAAAUCACGUGGUUUAAAACAACGGAAACAUAUUGUCUCACAGUUCUGGAGGCUGAAAUCCAACAUCAAGGUCUCGGGCAGGGUCAGGCCCCCUCUGUCCCUGUAGGGGAGCAUUCUUCCUCACCUCCUGCUUGGUUCUGCGUUGUUGCCAGCAGCCCUUGGCGCUCCUCAGCCUGCAGCUGCAGCAUUUCAAUCUCUCCCUCCAGCCGUCACAGAGUGUUCCCCUCUCGUGUGUCCAUCCCAGAAUCUCUCUUCCUCCAGCAAGGACAGCAGUUGUGUUGGCUUAGGGCCACCGUAAUGACCUCAUCUGAAGCUUGCUUACAUCUGCAAAGACCCUCUUUCCAAGUGUGGGGGAUGGGAGAAGCUGUUCAACCAGGAUGUGCUCUGAGGUCCCCUUUGGCUCACAGAGUCUGAGGCAGCGGAUGUCCACUGUUCCACGUUCAGACAUUAGGUGGCCUUGAGUAACUGAAAAACCCAAGAGAGACAUGAUGAGAAGGAGGCUCUAGGUCGUUAUACAACAGAUAAGGAACGUGGCCUUUGGAAACAUGAUUCACCUCCAUGCUUGGCAUAGCAGGCUGUUUUAUUUUGCUCGUCACAGUGAUUUUCUUUGUCCUCGUUUUUAUUUAUCUGGAUGAUGGUUGGUCAAAAGUUUUCUAAGCUGAAUUCCCAUCUUACUACCCAUAACAUUACAUAAAAUGAGAUGCUAGAGUUAAAAAAAAAUAAUUGUCACAUCACAACUGAUUUUAGAUGUUGGCAGGGCUGCCAGCUGGAGCAGAUUCACAAGGAAAAUCGACUCCUCUCUGUCCUUCAAGCUAAAAAAAGGCGAGAUAAGAAGAGAGGGCGCUCUGUGAUGAAUAAGGGUGGCUGUGCCUCCAUGGGUGGCUGGAGGAGGAGACCCUUUGAGGCCCUGGGGGUGGGUUGGGGGGGAUUGCAAGCGGGGGAGGCCGGGGGUGGGGUACUGUAGCAUAAAGGGGGAUGAGAACUGUCUAUACUCUCUCCUGAUGUCCCAGUGCUUCAAAGAGAAAACCGUGUCAAAGCCAGGGGAGGGGAAGCACUGAACACCAAGCUGAAUAGAGGACAUUUUCCCAGAGCUCCAGUCUCAGCGUGACAUGUGUACAAAGAUGCAUCUCCCUCCCUCCCGCUACCCCCUCCGCCUGACCUAAGGUGGACACUAGACAGAUAAGCCGGGGCAGGGCAGUGUCCCCUCUAGAAAUCUCUGACUUGUGGGCAGGAAGCGAAAGCUCCAGGAAAAUGGAAUCUUCUCACAGCUGUGGUGCAGUGAGUUAAGUAAGGAUCUGGUGGUGUCAUUGCAGUGGCUUGGGUUGCUGCUGUGGCGUGGGUUCGAACCCUGGACCAGGAUCUCCCACUUGCUAUGGGUAUGGCAAAAAAAUUAAAUAGUGCUAUUUUUUCCCUGAAUCUCAGAAAUU
ensembl:lncRNA